rfam:Azospirillum lipoferum strain R1C genome assembly, contig: Ga0048941_15
CCUCGUCGACCUGCUGCGGGCAGAUGAAGUGGAUGUGGGCGUCGAUGCCGCCGGCGGUGACGAUCUUGCCCUCGCCGGCGAUCACCUCGGUGCCGGGGCCGACGACGAUGGUCACGCCGGGCUGGACGUCGGGGUUGCCGGCCUUGCCGAUGGCGGCGAUGCGCCCGCCGGUGAUGCCGAUGUCGGCCUUGACGAUGCCCCAAUGGUCGAUGAUCAGCGCGUUGGUGAUGACCGUGUCCACCGCGCCCUGGUGGCGCGAGCGCUGCGACUGGCCCAUGCCGUCGCGGA